UUAUGCUAAACGGUUUUGUCAGGGAUCACAAGAUCCAAGAAUAACGUCUCGAAUUUAAAACUGCCGAUGAGAGAAAGUGAAACCAGUUAGCUGCGCCCGCCGCCUACAUUGCUAUUGUGAAACUAAUAGUGUGCUUAACUGUAAGUUUUAUAACGCGUACCUGAAAGUACGACGUAUUUUGUUCAGCAGUAUAGAAAGUGCUCGAACCUGGAACCUUUCAUUUCGCACCCCAGAACAUUACCCACUAGGGUUCAGUUAUGUGUGAACUAUAGUUGUGAUAUACCACAAGAUCUCACAAUGCCUAGAAAACUGGAAGAAACCUCUUCAGGAAAAUUUGGAACCUCUGCAUCAGUCAGAAUUCACUCAAAAAAUUUCCUGUUACAAACAAAUGGCCUGAAAAGUUAGGAUGAUAAUGAGGUCCUCUCACUUCUCGAGGAUUUGUAGACUCUGCAGGUGUUGUACUUGAGGAAGGAUCCCCUGGUCCAGAA